GGUGAGGUAACGGCUCACCAAGGCUUACGGGUACCGGGUCUGAGAGGAUGAUCCGGCACACUGCGACUGAGACACUGCCCAGACUCCUACGGGAGGCUGCAGUCGAGAAUCAUUGUCAAUGCACGAAAGUGUGAACAUGCGACGCCGCGUGGAGGAAGACGGCCUUCGGGUUGUAAACUCCUGUCAGCAGGGAGUAAGGAUGGUCCGGUUAAUAACCUGGCCAUUUGAUAGUACCUGCAGAGGAAGUCACGGCUAACUCUGUGCCAGCAGCCGCGGUAAUACAGAGGUGGCGAACGUUGUUCGGAUUUACUGGGCGUAAAGGGUCCGCAGGCGGCUCGGUGUGUCAGAUGUGAAAGCCCACGGCUUAACCGUGGAAUUGCAUUUGAAACUGCCGGGCUAGAGUACUGGAGGGGAGAAGGGAACACUUGGUGUAGCGGUGAAAUGCGUAGAUAUCAAGUGGAACACCGGUGGCGAAGGCGCUUCUCUGGACAGAUACUGACGCUCAUGGACGAAAGUUAGGGUAGCGAAAGGGAUUAGAUACCCCUGUAGUCCUAACCGUAAACGGUGUGCACUAGACGUGGGAGGCUUUACCCCCUUCCGUGUCUGAGCUAACGCAUUAAGUGCACCGCCUGGGGAGUACGGUCGCAAGAUUAAAACUCAAAGGAAUUGACGGGGACCCGCACAAGCGGUGGAGCAUGUGGCUUAAUUCGAUGCAACGCGAAGAACCUUACCUGGACUUGACAUAUAGCUGCAUACGACCUGAAAGGGACGUAGCCUUCGAGGGUGCUAUACAGGUGCUGCAUGGCUGUCGUCAGCUCGUGCCGUGAGGUGUUGGGUUAAGUCCCGCAACGAGCGCAACCCCUGUGUUUAGUUGCCAGCACGUAAUGGUGGGAACUCUAAACAGACUGCUGGUGAAAACCAGAGGAAGGUGGGGAUGACGUCAAGUCAGUAUGGUCCUUAUGUCCAGGGCUGCACACGUGCUACAAUGGGAUGUACAAUGGGAAGCUAAGCCGCGAGGUGGAGCAAAUCCUCAAAACAUCCCCCAGUUCGGAUUGUAGUCUGAAACUCGACUACAUGAAGUUGGAAUCGCUAGUAAAGGCGUAUCAGCUACGACGCCUUGAAUACGUUCCCGGGUCUUGUACACACCGCCCGUCACAUCAUGGAAGUCUGUUGCACCCGAAGUCGUUGAUCUAACCUCUCACGAGGAUGAAGGCGCCGAAGGUGUGAUAGGUAACUGGGAUGAAGUCGUAACAAGGUA
rnacentral:rRNA from 1 species